UACGGGGGGAGCAAGCGUUGUUCGGAUUUACUGGGCGUAAAGGGCGCGUAGGCGGUCAGCACAAGUCAGUUGUGAAAUCCCCGGGCUUAACUCGGAAAGGUCAACUGAUACUGUGCGACUAGAGUGCGGAAGGGGCAACUGGAAUUCUUGGUGUAGCGGUGAAAUGCGUAGAUAUCAAGAGGAACACCUGCGGCGAAGGCGGGUUGCUGGGCCGACACUGACGCUGAGGCGCGAAAGCCAGGGGAGCGAACGGG
rnacentral:rRNA from 1 species